AGUAAAUGCAAAUUUGUCGUUUGGAAAUAGAACAAAUUUUACUAGCGGCCUCGUUAGCUCUGAAGAGGCUGUCCUGACGGUGACGGCACGUGUAUGUCCUGGUCAGGAAGAGCUGUGAUAUGCGCAAGUGGCCAUUUGGAGCGUCAGUCGGUGCAUGUUCAGGGACGGCUAGCAAAGCUGAUCCGACAAGAUCUUAGUCUUAUAGUCUUGGUAAAAUGGCCCCGACUACAAUCUGAGUCGAUACGGCCAAUAUUGAUCCGACAAGGAAGUGUCAAUGUUGCAAAGUCCUCUGAAUCGUUGUUCAUUGGGUGAAGUGACCAUGAGGCAUGCAUUUGAGAGAGAAAUGUCGCCAUUUCCUCGAAUUCCUCCAAAGUGCGGCGUCGCGGAUGGAUUGAACCGCCAUUGAAUGCGUUACAUAAGGUUCCGGAAGAUCGCCUAUGAUCUGUGUGGUGUCGCCGCCCGUUAUCGCACACAUCAUCGACAUUGAUGAUUCUUCACAGAGCAAGGCACCCAAAAUCUCUGUCUGAACAGAGCAAGCGUUUGCUGCACACCUCCGUGUAGUGUUUUCGAAUAACAAGAGUUGACUAUGAUUCUGGUAAUAUCCUGCCGUCCAGAUUCAUUCCAUGAGUGCCAGGUCCACCUCCUCCGCAGUCAGCGUCCCAAGAUCUUUUGACAUCCCAAUGAGAAGUGACAAUGGAAUCGACGUCGAUUUCAUUGUCAUUUUUCACUAGGACUUUGCCGUGUUCGCCACGCCGAGAUCUGCCUCCUUCGGUGAGAGGAUCGUCGCAACAUGAGUCUUGCUCCUCUGUUCCGGUAGCUCCUGCUCAGUGGAGAGCACAUACGGGACACCGUUAGCACCCCAAGCCGACACCCGAGGUGAUCCCCCGCACCACGACAAGGUCGCAUCUCACGCAGAGGAUUCGCUGAAUUGUCCUGUCCUGAGACAUGGUACUACCGUGCGUUGUCUGUAUCU